rnacentral:rRNA from 1 species
GCGUAAAGCGUUCGCAGGUGGCUGUUCAAGUCUGCUGUCAAAGACCGGAGCUUAACUCCGGAAAGGCGGUGGAAACUGAAGAGCUAGAGUGCGGUAGGGGUAGAGGGAAUUCCCAGUGUAGCGGUGAAAUGCGUAGAGAUUGGGAAGAACACCGGUGGCGAAAGCGCUCUACUAGGCCGCAACUGACACUCAGGGACGAAAGCUAGGGGAGCGAAUGGGAUUAGAUACCCCAGUAGUCCUAGCUGUAAACGAUGGGUACUAGGCGUAGCUUGUAUCGACCCGAGCUGUGCCGAAGCUAACGCGUUAAGUACCCCGCCUGGGGAGUACGCACGCAAGUGUGAAACUCAAAGGAAUUGACGGGGGCCCGCACAAGCGGUGGAGUAUGUGGUUUAAUUCGAUGCAACGCGAAGAACCUUACCAGGGCUUGACAUCCGGCGAAUUCUCUGGAAACAGAGAAGUGCCUACGGGAGCGCCGUGACAGGUGGUGCAUGGCUGUCGUCAGCUCGUGUCGUGAGAUGUUGGGUUAAGUCCCGCAACGAGCGCAACCCUCGUCCUUAGUUGCCAGCAUUAAGUUGGGCACUUUAGGGAGACUGCCGGUGACAAACCGGAGGAAGGUGGGGAUGACGUCAAGUCAGCAUGCCCCUUACGUCCUGGGCAACACACGUACUACAAUGGUCGAGACAAAGGGCAGCCAACUCGCAAGAGUGAGCGAAUCUCAGCAAACUCGGCCUCAGUUCAGAUCGCAGGCUGCAACUCGCCUGCGUGAAGGAGGAAUCGCUAGU